AGCUUAGCUCUCGACCAAGAAGGGGAACCAGACCCCUAGUUUGGAUCUCUCAUCGCCACCUUGCGAGUUGUGCCACCGACUACCGAAACACCCAGUCCCAGCCAUUCCUUGGCCUGAUGAGAAGUUUCUAGCCACGAGAAGAUCCUUGGCUGUGGUGAACCCUAUGAUGUGGAGGAUUGUUGCUCAAGUUCACAACAGGAUAGGGCUACCAAUUCCUGUAGAGGUCAGCAUGUGCUUGUCCCUCACAGCUUCAUUUAGAUUUCUUCAAAGAGAAAAUUGUUGUAGAUAUGGAUUGAGCAUUCAGCCAGCAUUGUUCGCCGAAGAUCCACAGUUCCGGCCAUCCUAUUCUGGUAGUGAAUCUCUUUAACCGUGAGUGGACGGAGGAGCAAUCCAAUUAGGGACUUUAAUUCGGGACGAGCAUCUCAUCAUGGGAUUGGUUAUCUCGUUCGAUAGAUAAAGACGGGUGUUACGAGCAGAUCUGUUGCUGAUCCCCAGUGAGUUACUGAUCAUUAUGCAAUGUGUCAAUUCCAGAUUUGGUAGAAGAUAGUGAUUAUGUAGUCGAUUGGAGUAUCCUGCUUGCCGAUCCCAUGUCACAUCGGAGAACGACCUUUAUUUUUCUUUAUGAUUUUAUUGCAUUUAUCUAGAUUUAUAUACUUAGGAUUAUAAUAAUUUUGUUGUGGACUUGGUAUUUGGUCUUAUGGCUACUUUUGAUAUUUCUGAUGGUUGUUGUGUAAAGUCUAGCCAGCUAGCAGUGUGUUGUUUUAGUUUAUGGGCUUUCUUUUAUUUACCGCUGUGUUUUAGUACAA